CCUACGGGGGGCAGCAGUGGGGAAUAUUGCACAAUGGGGGAAACCCUGAUGCAGCGACGCCGCGUGAGUGAAGAAGGAAUUCGGUAUGUAAAGCUCUAUCAGCAGGGAAGAAAAUGACGGUACCUGAGUAAGAAGCCCCGGCGAACGACGUGCCAGCAGCCGCGGUAAUACGUAGGGGGCAAGAGUUAUCCGGAUUGACUGGGUGGAAAGGGAGCGUAGACGGCAGUGCAAGUCUGGAGUGAAAGGCGGGGGCUCAACCCCCGGACUGCGCUGGAAACUGUACGGCUGGAGUGCAGGAGAGGUCAGUUGUAUUCCUAGUGUAGCGGUGACAUGCGUAGUUCUUAGGAGGAACACCAGUGGCGAAGGCGGCUUACUGGACUGUAACUGACGUUGAGGCUCGACAGCGUGGGGAGCAAACCGGAUUAGAUACCCGGGUAGUC
rnacentral:rRNA from 1 species